CUCACUCAACACUUUGAUCCAUUCUCGUGUCCAGGGCUUCACGUGAACUCGUCCUCCCCCGAACCGGAGCCAUCAAAUGUGACGCUUCCUUGUCUUUUAUUCUCUAUUCUCUCGCGUCCUCUCCUGUCCACUUCAGCUCCAGGCGCGCGCCACGGACCGGUGCUCACGACUCUCUGCUCCGGUCCCGAGGUGGCUCAUCAUCAGCGGGGUGAAGUGUUCUCACCGGCCGCUCGCUGCGAUGUCGCGCACGCGCCGCGGAACACAACGCCGUGCAGUCCGACGGGGCUCCCCAUUUAUCGGCGGCCGAUUCGCCGGUUCAGGAAGCGCGGAGGUCGACGGUGGUCGCGGUGGCCGGGCGAAUCUCCAUUCAAGGCAUCCGCCGCCGCCGCCGCCCGGUGGAGGAUGGUCCGCCUGACGGAGGAGGUCCAAGCCCCCGGGUGCGAUUGGGCAACCGGUGUUACCAGGCUCCACGGUUUCCUCUCAUUUUCUGGAGGAGCGAAAGAAGACGAAGAAGAAGAAGAAGAAGAAGAAGAAAAAAAAAAAAAAAGGAUGUGGAGGCUGUCAGAUGUGGAGGUACCACCUCUGUGGAACACAAUCUCCCCCGACAGAGAGAGAGAGAUAGAGAGAUAGAGAGAAAUCAAAAGAAAAGAAAAAAGGGCUAAAAAACAAGACCGCUCCGCGUCCGCAAGUUUUCGUUCUCUGGAACCGGGGGACGGCGGGAUUGUUUUAAGGUUGUCGAGGGCGGGGGUAGAAGAAGAAGAAGAAGAAGAAGAAGAAGAAGAAGAAGAAGAAAGAAGAAAAAAAAGGCAGAGCCGAAGCUACAUAAUGCUGAUUUCUUUUUCUUUUUUUUCUUUUUUUUGGGGGGAUGUUUGUCUUUUUCUCUGCCGGGUUUUUUUUCUUCUCUUUCUCCUCUCUCCUCUCUUGUCUCUGGCGUGUUGCCCCCUCCGAGUCUUCGACGCUGCUUGACAGCGGCACAUCCAAUAAAAGCAGCCGCGAGGAUUGACCUCCAGCCUCCGAUGACGUCAAUGCAAAUGAGCUGCGCGCGGCUAAUCGGCGUCGCGCUCGGCGCCGCUGGGUGGUCCCGGCGUUUCCGUGGGAACUUUGAAAAGCGAGGAGGAGAGAACGAGAGGGAAAAAAAAAGAAGGGCAGAAGAGAGCCGUGCCGCGGGUGCACGACCAGACGUUUCUGUGUGCACAAAGCAAAACGAGUGAGUUCGCCCCACUCUCGUGUUACAGUGCUAAACAUCUUGGCGACCGUGUCGAAUCUACGGAGUGCCGUGAGGGCCAUACGUGACCUGGUUUAUCUUUAGUUAAAAUUGUCAGAGAAUGAUGUUUAUAAUGUCUAACAACUUGUAUAUGGGCCUUGAAACAACAACAACAACGAGUAUAAAUGUACAUUUACACUGAAAUGAGAAAUGAUAUAUAUAUAUGUAUGUAUUUACACUUGAUUAUUGUGAAAUGUUGGUUCAUCUGUGAGGGAAUUUGUGGAAGUCGAUAGUUUCUUUUCAUCACUCAUUGACUUGACAAUAACUUUUUCAUUAAAUCAGUAUUGCACUCAUUUUGUCGGCGUUCGACACUAAAAUUUCCGCGCCGUUUGCAGUCUUUUCCUCUCCCAGGGGAGAUGGGCUCUCACUUGGGUUGUCUCAGUACGACCAGGACUCACUCCGUGUACUUCCUUGACUGUAACCUGCGCCGCAAGGUUUCACCGGACCUCACCUUGUCCCUAUACGGAGUGCCCUCUAGAGUUGCCAAAACGAGAGGAAGUUCCCUAUUGGCUGCCCUUCAAGUGGGAACAAAAAUGAUUGAACGCCCUCUAGUGUGCCCUCGUCAUGCAAUACAUUUUGACGAUGUGCCCUUUAGAGUAAGAAAACAUGACAACGUGUCUUAAUGAGUGCCCUUCUAGUGGAGAAAAUGUUGCGCAGUGCCCUAUAAGGUACCCCCUGACUUGGUCCAAACUUUGACGUUCCAAAAUGGGUGUCCUUUCAAUGGAAAAGGUGCCGUUAUGAAGUGCCCUCUAUGCCGCCCCUACAUGACAGUGCCCCAAAGGGAGCCCCUUCAGUGCUGUAUACAGAACUCCUACAGGUGAGAAAACAUGAUGAAGUGCACUCUUAGAUGUGCAAGUAAGAAAAGGGCCUGCCUCUAUGCACUCUUUGUUAGGGUUCCUGUUCUGUUCUUCAAAUGCAAUAGUAUUUCUGAGUUAUGAGACGCCUUGUUACGCGUCGCAGUAUGGAUGACGUUCAUUUCUAUUCUUGAUAAUCGUUGAAUAACAAUCCUGUUGAUGCAAGGAUCAAAGGCAAUCAUUGUCCUGUGAUAUAGUAUGACACACCACUGUGAUCUAGCACACCCCCACUUCUGAGUUCAAAGUGAUCAGAGGCACGUUUAUUUCUAUGAUCUUGGAUCUCAUGUACAUAAGCUAAGGUACAACUCACACACACACAAACAAACACACACUCUCUCACACAAAUGGGCCCCAUGUCGUUCAGUAGGUUCCUUUUUUUUGUUUUGCCCCUGCCCCUCAAACAGCCUGAAUCCGCCACUGGAACUGCAACUAGUAUAAAAUGGGUAUUGGAUGAUUUACCAUACAGUCCAUGUGUGGCGGAAGUGCAAUACACUGGUAAGCAUAGGUUAACGUGCCAACUGAAUCCGGGUGUGAUGUCAAGGUGGGCUGUAUGGAUCCUAUAAUCUCAAAAAAUGCUGCAUCCUACAUUACCAUAAAGCAACCAGUGGCAUUUUUUUUUUAAUUAGAACGCCCUGGUAAACACCCAUAUUUUAAACUCGCUCUAAGUUUGUCAUGCAGGCUUUGCGUCAAGAUUCUUCAAGCUCAAGUUGAGUCGAUAACAACAUCAGGGUUGUUUUCUUUGACUCAACAAAGGUCCUCACAGGCAGAGUCGUACUCCCCAUGACAACUGACCUUUAUGUGUAAAACUGGUGGAGUUCCCCCUUUAAUGUUCGUCCAAUGGAGCAAGUGUGCGUUACCUUUUGAGAUCAAUGAGAUUCAACAGAGUAUUCUGUUAAUUUUCAGUGGGGGACUGGAGUACUAGCAAUCUUUUCACAUCACAGACCGAUAUUAAUUCCAUUUUUAUAUUCCCGUUUUUUUUUUUUGAGCUUUAACAAAUCAAAUGAGGGUGUGGUUAAGUUGCUUCAAUCAGGGCAUUAAAGGAGAAUCUGUAAAUCACAGCUUUAAACGGUAUAUUGCUUUUCAAGAACGCAAAAUUGAAAAAUCUAAUUCAAAUAAUGUUCAGUCUUGAAUAAAUCUAUGUCAGAGAUAUGA